UUGAGUGCUCUUGUCUAAACUCCUCCAAACCCAGAUGAACAGAACCCUUUACACGUACAAACACUUUACAGAUACCACAUCUGAAGCAGGUCUGAGCUUCUGCUUCAGUCUUCAAACCCUUAAAUCAUAGUGAUAUUAAUGAUCCCGGACGAGCCCCCAAAAUCUGUCAGAAACUUAAAUAACACAUACAACAUUUGCAGAUGUUGAUAAGUCAUCCGUACAUGGAUGUAACCGUGGACUUCGUCACAUUAAUGAUGCAAAGUUUUAUUAAACGCCUGCGAUAAAUGAACUGAUCGAACACGAUGGAACUCAUGUUGUGGUUUGUCGUCUCAGAUUAAAGGACGGUGAACUUCAGUCCGUGGUGUUCGUCAUGUCCUCAGGCCGCAGUCCAACAUUUAACAUUAAAUCAAACUGAUUUUCUGAAGGAUUUGUCCAAAACAGCUGGUGUUUGAACCUUUGAAGACCUAGAACGAUUUUUUAUAUAUAUAGGAAAAUACCGUUUUUUCUUAAAAAUGCGGAGAACAUAUAUUGUUAGCUCUGUAGUGUAAUUGUCUAAGUCAUAUUUUCGGUCAAAUAUUUGCAUAACUUUACUCUCCGAACACUGACGAUUUAUUUGAUGUGGAUAUCACAAAUGUAAAAGGUCAAGUUGAAUUAAACACUUAACAUUUGAAGCAGGUUUAAGGUUCUGGUUCUGUUUUUCAACCCCUUAGAUUAUAGUGACGUUAAUGAUCCCGGACGAGCCCCCACAAACUGUCGGAAACUUAAAUAACACAUACAACAUUUGCAGAUGUUGAUAAGUCAUCCGUACAUGGAUGUAACCGUGGACUUCAGCUGAAGAACACAGAAC